UACGUAGGGGGCAAGCGUUGUCCGGAAUCAUUGGGCGUAAAGAGCGUGUAGGCGGUUCGGUAAGUCGGCUGUGAAAGUCCAGGGCUCAACCCUGGGAUGCCGGUCGAUACUGCCGGACUAGAAUUCGGAAGAGGCGAGUGGAAUUCCCGGUGUAGCGGUGAAAUGCGCAGAUAUCGGGAGGAACACCUAUGGCGAAGGCAGCUCGCUGGGACGUUACUGACGCUGAGACGCGAAAGCGUGGGGAGCAAACAGG
rnacentral:rRNA from 1 species